GCUGGAUUAGCUCAUUUGGUAGAGCGGCUCUCUUGUAAGGAGCGGGUGGUGGGAUCGUAGCCUACAUCCAGCACCA
rnacentral:tRNA from 1 species